rnacentral:lncRNA from 1 species
AUGCCAAAUAAAUUGUCCAAGGGCCCAUUGAUAGCAGGUGGUAGAGCUAACACUAGAAAUAAGCUUAGCCCAGUGUCUGGUAUGAGAAGUUGUUCGAACAGUCUGAAUUACUCUUCCUGUUCUGGAGGUUACAGUGAGUAUCCUCCACCUGUGAAGGUGACAGAUGGGCGGGGGCUUUUGAGAGCAGACAAGGAGGCACCUGGGUGUUCAGAGACUCCUGGGACCCUAGAGGUGUGUGAGUGUGUGGGUGACCUUCCCAGGGCACACCCCCUCCCAGGCCUGUCACAGAGCAAGUCACAGACCUGCCUCACAGUGGCAGGAGUCCCUGAGGGGGCCUGGCCCUGGGCGCACACAGGAGGCGGCCCUGCAGCAGCUGCGUGUCUGGGAGGGCCUCAGACUCCACCUGCGCCCCUCCAGAAGUGGUGACGGAGGAGAGGUGCACGGACCAGGCCCUCUGCUCAACAAAAGCCAGCGCUGGGGCUGCCCCGGCCAAGGCAGAUUUAUUGCUCUCUCUGCCGAGCCAGUGCGAGCGGGUGCCUUUAACGGCCGCCUGUGAAUGGAGACAUGCCUGCCUGAUAUACAAACACUGAGAGGACAAAGACGGCUCCUGCAACUUAUAAAUCAGAGAAAUCAUGUCUGACAGUCACUUUCCGUUCUCUGGGCGCCGAGCAAUUCAUCAGCCGAUCCCCUCUGAUUCAUGGAGGCAGCUACGCCCAGUGCCCACAAUCAUAAGUAUGUGCACAGUCAGGCAGCCGGGAGCAGCAAGCAGGUUCCGGGGCCUAAAUGGCUGUCGUUUACGCACAUCACAGCCCCCAGCCGGUGUCAAAGUGAGGUUAGGGGCUAAUUAGAUCAAGAGCCCAACAGACAACUUCGCGUCUCGGGACCCUUUUUUCUCUCUCUCCCCUAAGUGCUUAAAGAAGUCAAACCUAGGGGAGGAGGAGGAGAAAUAAAACAUGCAAAAAGUAAAAGUAGGGGGAGCCAUAAUAAAGCCCGAGGGGUUCCCGCAGAUCUGGGAGCCUCUCCCACUCAGGCAAGACCUUUUGAUUUGCAAAUCUUUCUGAAGCCGCCUCCGCCCCACCCGAGGGGUAGGAGGUACUCCCCCGGGGGGCCAUUAUGUACCUCUGCCUAUAAACCCGUCCAGGAAGCUGGGGGAGAGACGGGGAGGCAGAGAGGGGCUGCCCUAGUUAGUGUGACAAACACUCCUUUGCGUGCCUACGGCCCAAUACGUGCGUGUGAGCCCACGGAUAUUGAUAGAGUUCACCGCACCAUCACUCUCUCACCCGCUGGCGCCGACAACCUCUUCCUUCUGUCCCAAGGUGCGGGGUCCGCAGACAGGGGCACCCUCGGAGAAUCACUUCCCUGAAUUAUAUAAGAUCGCACAGGCUCCGCUGACACCUUGGAGCAGAAUGACAAAGCUGUCUGGGAGCUCACAGCCCCUCCGCCCCGGCGUGGGGGCUGGAGGAUUUCGUGAGUUAAGACUCACAUUGCGCCCCUCCUUUCCAUUCUUUUUUUUUCCUCCAUUCUUUUUUUUUUACAGCACAUGACAGGCAUCCAUAAGAGAGACCCACACAACUGAAGUGAAUUAUGCAGCCCCGCUCAUUUGUAAAGUGAAGUGAAAUGCAGAUUUUGCCUGCUGAAAUUCAGAUCUUGCCUCCUAUUCCCCGUAAGUCGAGGCUGGCACAGGGAAAUCUAUUGAUUUAUUAUGAUUUUAAAAAAUAAAAAUAAAUAAAAACCCCAAACUACCAAACAAACAAUCCGGCA